GCGACCCCAGGUCAGGCGGGACUACCGGCUGAGUUUAA
rnacentral:rRNA from 1 species